AAGAUAUUUUGCUGGAGAUCUCUGCAUACCUGAGGCCUUCUGAAGUUAUAAAGGGGGAAGAGAGAAUUCUUGAGUUGCUCCAAAAAUGUAAAGCUGGAUCAGCAGUAAAAGAUGUUGAAGCAGCAGCAUUUCCCUGAGAAGCAGCCAACUUAGAAGUGGAAUAUGGAUUAGUGUCAUCAGGAGCAGCAGCAAGAGCUGCACAGGCAGUCUGAUGGGGGCACUUUCCUAGCACAUCAUACUGCAGCUGAACAGCUGAGCCACUCAGAAUACCACAGCUGAAAAAUUUUGUCCAGAAUCAUCAAACAGAUUUGUACCCUCUACACUCUGAAUUUAUACAGGUUACUGAAUAAAGAUGAAUGAAUAUCUUACAUAGUUGGUAUAAUUUUGAUCUUCAUAAAAUAAAAAUGUAGUUCUACUACUGUAUGCAGCAAUGGCAUGAACUACAGUUUGAUAUUCCAUAGAGUAUCUCUGUAGAAGUCUAAUCUCUUGUUGGGAAAGGAAAAUAAAAGCUCCUCUUAAACA